rnacentral:rRNA from 1 species
GACGAACGCUGGCGGCGUGCUUAACACAUGCAAGUCGAACGCUGAAGCUUGGUGCUUGCACUGGGUGGAUGAGUGGCGAACGGGUGAGUAAUACGUGAGUAACCUGCCCUUGACUCUGGGAUAAGCCUGGGAAACUGGGUCUAAUACUGGAUAUGACAUGCCACUGCAUGGUGGUGUUUGGAAAGGGUUUUACUGGUUUUGGAUGGGCUCACGGCCUAUCGGCUUGUUGGUUGGGUAAUGGCCUACCAAGGCGACGACGGGUAGCCGGCCUGAGAGGGUGACCGGCCACACUGGGACUGAGACACGGCCCAGACUCCUACGGGAGGCAGCAGUGGGGAAUAUUGCACAAUGGGCGGAAGGCUGAUGCAGCGACGCCGCGUGGGGGAUGACGGCCUUCGGGUUGUAAACCUCUUUCAGCACGGAAGAAGCGAGAGUGACGGUACGUGCAGAAGAAGCGCCGGCUAACUACGUG